UGGGGAAUAUUGGACAAUGGGCGAAAGCCUGAUCCAGCCAUGCCGCGUGUGUGAAGAAGGUCUUCGGAUUGUAAAGCACUUUAAGUUGGGAGGAAGGGCAGUAAGCGAAUACCUUGCUGUUUUGACGUUACCGACAGAAUAAGCACCGGCUAACUCUGUGCCAGCAGCCGCGGUAAUACAGAGGGUGCAAGCGUUAAUCGGAAUUACUGGGCGUAAAGCGCGCGUAGGUGGUUCGUUAAGUUGAAUGUGAAAGCCCCGGGCUCAACCUGGGAACUGCAUCCAAAACUGGCGAGCUAAAGUAGGGCAGAGGGGGGUGGAAUUUCCUGUGUAGCGGUGAAAUGCGUAGAUAUAGGAAGGAACACCAGUGGCGGAGGCGGCCACCUGGGCUCAUACUGACACUGAGGUGCGAAAGCGUGGGGAGCAAACAGG
rnacentral:rRNA from 1 species